AUUGAACGCUGGCGGCAUGCCUUACACAUGCAAGUCGAACGGGGGUAGCAAUACCCUAGUGGCGAACGGGUGAGUAAAGCAUCGGAACGUACCCAGUCGUGGGGGAUAACGUAGCGAAAGUUACGCUAAUACCGCAUACGUCCUGAGGGAGGAAGCGGGGGACCGUAAGGCCUCGCGCGAUUGGAGCGGCCGAUGUCGGAUUAGCUAGUUGGUGGGGUAAAAGCCUACCAAGGCGACGAUCCGUAGCUGGUCUGAGAGGAUGAUCAGCCACACUGGGACUGAGACACGGCCCAGACUCCUACGGGAGGCAGCAGUGGGGAAUUUUGGACAAUGGGGGAAACCCUGAUCCAGCCAUGCCGCGUGAGUGAAGAAGGCCUUCGGGUUGUAAAGCUCUUUCGGACUGAAAGAAAUCGCACAGGUAAAUAAUCUGUGUGGAUGACGGUACCGUAAGAAGAAGCACCGGCUAACUACGUGCCAGCAGCCGCCGUAA
rnacentral:rRNA from 1 species